rnacentral:rRNA from 2 species
GAGACCCGUGCCCACUGUUACCAGCAUGUCCUCCGGGACGAUGGGUACUCUGUGGGGACCGCCGGUGUUAAAUCGGAGGAAGGUGCGGGCUACGGUAGGUCAGUAUGCCCCGAAUCUCCCGGGCUACACGCGGGCUACAAUGGAUGGGACAAUGGGUCCCUUCCCUGAAAAGGGUUGGUAAUCUCACAAACCCAUUCUUAGUUCGGAUCGAGGGCUGUAACUCGCCCUCGUGAAGCUGGAAUCCGUAGUAAUCGCGUUUCAAUAUAGCGCGGUGAAUAC